AGUCCAGUCGUUGUCCCAGUCAUCGCUUUCCCGUAUUGCUGGGAGAUUCGUAGUUUUUGGUUGCACGUGAUGGAUUUGUUUGCCUCCCUUUGGUCGUGUAUUUGAUUUUACAUCUUUUGAUGGUCUCGGCUUGGCCCCCUGGUUCUCCCAGUCAUUUUCCCUUUUGUAGCAAAGCAUUAUGUGGUGGGGUCCUCCACAGUACGCGCAGUCCUCGGCGUUGCAAGUCCCGAUUUGAUGCUUCAACAAACAUUUGAAGCAGGAUUUGAGUGACCUCACCUCUUUUGUUUCCAGUCAGUUCGUGUUUCUUCGUCUAUUUUUGAUAACACGAUGAACUCCACUAUAAUGUCCCAGUUUGUAACCGACACGCCUAGUCCCGGCAGUGCUCGAAGUAGCUGGUUGGUCCCGUCCACGAUAGUCCUGAUCAACUUGAAUGUUGGUCGUUGGGUAAUUGCUGGAAUUUGGAAGAAUUUCCUAAUAUAUUCAUGUGCGAUCUCAUCCUUCCUUUCGUAUCGUCGUAAUAAGUCUCAAUAAUUAAUUACUUGACUUUUAAAUCCAGUUUUCGGAUUUAAACAAACAUAACGGACAUUCAAUUCUUUUCUCUGGAUUUGAUUCACCCUUGCCUACCGCUAGCGUUCCCUUUUGAAGUUAACUGGUUUUUUACCAUUUAAAUCCAAUUCUUAGAUUUAAACACUUGUGGAUCUGGUACCGCCUCGGAUGGUGGAAUAUCAGCUGCUUGUUGAACAGAGCACAUUUGAGUUGCAUUCACUAGUUAUUCAUUACUCAUUUUUUAUUCACUUUGAAACCAAUACUUUUCAAAAAAUCAAUAUUUUUUUGUAGUUAACGGUCGUUUUUUAGUUAUCAACUUUCUUUUCACUGUUGUCUGUUGUGAUCGUCGUUCACGAUUGACGUUGCGAGCAGUACCUGAUUCACUUUUAUAUGGAUUUGGUUGAUUCUGAUAUUUGAUAAGUUGAAGAUAAUUACAAUUUGAAUACCAUAGUGCCUGUUGUUCCCAUGAAUAUAUGUGUAAUUUCUAUUUAGUUGACUUCGAUCUUUAGUAAAGACUUAUUUUUGAUGAUUAGAUAGAGAUUUGAUAGAGAUUUGAUUGAUGAUUAGAUCGACUCGUGUACGUGUUAAUCUCUUUUUCGCAGUGAGAUUAUGUAACUGCUUCAAUAAAACACCUUUGACUUAUACUUUUUUAAAGUUUAUUUAAAAUAACCACUUUAACAAUUCUGUCUUAAUGACACCCUAGUUUUCCCUAUACAAACUCUGAUUGCGGGUCAACUUUAGCAUUCGUCGAGACAAUCAGACUUUGUUUAUUUUAUAUUGUAGUUGCGGGUCAACUUUAGCAUUCGUCGAGACAACUACAAUAUUCGAAGAGAUCUGGCUACUUAACUUUACUAUGAAAAAUACCAGCCCUUUUAUACCUAAAUUUUGUCUUUCCCACUUACAUGAAUUACAUAGUACGACUAUAGCAAUUUCGAAUUACAUGGUCAUAUUCGGUUCAAAGUCCAUGUUUACAAUAUUUAUCUUAUACUGUGUUUUGACCGUAAACCAAUUUACAUAUUCUUAUAUUGACAGUGGUCAUGCGAUCAUAGCGAAUGCGAUGUAACAUGUCGCAUAGCAUCGCUAUGUUAUCAUUGUUGCCUUUCACUUUUACAGCUUAUUAUCAUAUAUGUAAACAACGGUCUUCGUUGCUUCAUAUAUGCUUACAGUGUUAUUGUGAAUUAGCUUAAGACGUACAAAUUCCGGUUUUUGAAUGUAAACAAACAUUGAAAUUUUUGGGCUUUUAAAUCCAGUUCGGAUUUAAACAACUCGAGUAAAGACUGAUUUUUUUUCAAUCGCAUCAACAUGAAGGAAAAAAGUAGUGGAAAGAAAAAGAGCAACAAAGUUGUUAAGAAAUUUUUUAACAAGAAAUCGAAAAAUAAAUCGUUUGCUAAGAGAAAGAGACAUAAAGUCAUAAAAUUUUUGAUUUUAAUGAACCCAAAACCGAAACUUAUUUUUUUAUUGAUUUGUGGUUUCUCCAUCAUUUCUUCUAACAUGUAUGCGACACGUAAACAUAUAUUCAUUAAAUUUCACUGGUUCAUUAUUUUCAUCAACAAUGGUAUAUAUAAUUUUUCCACGAAUUUACUUAUGUCGUAGUUUGUUAAUGCUCGUUCAGGCGGCAAACUUAUAAGUUUUUUCUUUGUGUAGGCUUUUUGUGUUGACAAUAGAGUCCAUAUCCAUUUUUAUACGAGUAAAAAAAAGUUUUAAAUUAAAAAUCAAAACAAUUCAUUACAUUCAUUAACAUCAGGCUCUCUAUCGAACUACCAAUAGAUAUCACCGAAUCACUGCUGAUAGUUAUCACUGAAGCAUUCUUGUUUAAUCGACGCUUAUUUUCAUUGUUCUCAUUAUCGUUUUUCAAACUUCGUCGAUACCUUUUUAGUUCUAAUUUUGAUACCAAUACCGUGUCUUCACUGGUUUCACUUUGUUGACGAGAUGUGCUAGGUCGUUCCAUUGGUGUUUGUUGUUGUUGUGAAUGUGAAGUAAAAGUAGGACUGUUAUGAGUAACGACUCAGAGAAGAGUGAUCUUUAUUGUGUAUCAGGUUUACAUUGACCGCUCAGAGCUUACAUGCUUACGUAUGUGUUUACGCUUACUCUUGAGUGGCUGCGGCGCGUGCGUAAGCUUGUUACGACUUGCGCUACAUGAAGAAGUACUUGGUCUUUCUGUUCUAGUGGUUGGCCGUUGUUUCGUCAUUGAAGUUCGUUUCCGUUUCUUCGUUGGUUCCGGUGUGACCUGACGUCUUUGCCGUAGGUACUCCCGUGGCACAUCGAGUGGACAAUACAUGAACCACGCAAUUUGAUCCGCAAUCCAAGCGAAUAGGAAUUCACUUAAUACUUUAACUUUAACCAUUUUACAAAACACUUCUUUGCUGUUUUAAAGUCACGAAGCAACUGAUCAUAAAAAUCAUGUAAAACACAAAUUCUAACAAAAAUAUUCGGAAUCAUAAAACAGAGUCGUAAAAAAUUUAAUAUACAUAACAUUUUUUUGACACAUAUGUUCCUUCAAUUUCACGAUUAUAAUAAUCAAUUAAAGGAUAAGUAAUUGGAUUCGUAUACACUACUUCACACUGCAAACAUGCAUUGGAAAUAAGUAUAUAAAUAUGCGAACACAAAGAACAACAACUUUUUUUUACAAAAUAUACACAUCACUCUGUAUCGGAUCCAGGUAAUGAAAGUAGUAUACCUGUACCGGUUCUGACUCACUUUUUGACUGCGAGUCUGUUUAAUGGUAAAUACUUUGUCAGUGUAUUUAAAGAACUGUUUAAUAAAAACACUUGAACAAUAUUAGUUUUUAUGCACUUUUAUUCUUCACAAUAUUUUUAUUUUAUUUUCACAAUUUGUUGUCUUAAUGACACCCUAUUUUCCCUAAUUCCUGUUUAAAUCUAAGAAUUUAAAUGGCACUUAAAAACACAAUCACAUGAUAAAAGCUGAUGAAGAAUAGGGAAGCAAGUAGUGUCUAAUUUGAAUUGUUAUAAACAAAAAGGGAAAAUAAAAUACGGAAACGAAAAAGGGAAAGAAUUUAGUGGUUUUUAGUCAAAAUAUCAGUUUAAAAUUCUCACUGAUAUAAAAUAAAAGAGAGCCAGCUUUAAACAAUUCCUUAAGAGCUAUGAAUUGCGGGUCCGCUUAUGCAGAGACAAUUCAUAGGUCGAUUCCGUACAAGUCGCGAGUCAACUUUAAAAUUCGUCGAGGCAACUUGUAUGGAAGAAUGGAUCUGGCUAUCUGAUUAAAAUAGCAAAUUUGCCCUUUAUUUAUACUGAUUUUUCACAGAUUUCUCUUUUCCCACUACAAUUAUUUUACAGUAAAGUCUUACAGUACAAUCUCUUAUCCAUAGUGUAAACAACAGAAAUCUUACUCAAUUCGAGGUCAUCAUACAUUUUUCCCGUAUUAUCAAUAAUAUACAUUGUGACGCUCUUAAUUAAUUCUGGUUUAGUGGCUCAACAUACAGCAUACUGUAUAUUGUCGCCCAUUCCUCUUUACCUCAUUAAUAUGCAUACGCAUGAGACUCAUCGUUGUCUCAUUAUCACACGUUCGAUCAACACCUCUGUUCAUCGCGUAUCAAUGAUGGUGCGUAUCAUCUUAAUCCAGUUUUCAUAUGUAAACAAAGCAUUCGCUCUUACAUUUUUGUAACUGGUUUUUUGUUUACCUUUUUAAAUUUUUUACUCUUCUUAACUGAUUAGCUCUUCAGUUUGAGUUUAUAUCUGAUAGUGAAAACACGUUAGUGAUGUCACAAAAUGGGUUUUGUGACGCAAGCGAUAACCUUCUGGAACCAAUAAAUCGGCCUGGUUAAAGGGAAUGGUAUCAACAGAGGACAAACUAUCCUCUCCGUCGGAGCACAGGUUAAUCACUAAAUUAAAAUUAAAAUUAAUGGGAAACCAUAAAAUAAGUUAAACAAGGGAAAUAAUAACAAUCACUGAAAACUUGAUAAAGAAUAGGUUAAGGUUUACACAUACGGUUUGGAUUUUGGCGUGACAUUGUUCUUGCUGCUUUGUUGCGAUCAAAACACAAACUAAAACCAUCGGGCAUGUUGCCCCUUUCAUUUUUUGUUGUGCCUGUUCAUAUAAAUUCGACUUCUGUGCUUUCAUGGCGCUGUCAUUAAUAGAAAGGAUGAUAUUAUAAAUUUAUACUGCUAAUCGGCACAGGUCUUUGCCCUGUAUUUAUACUGAUUUUUUCCAGCUUUCUCUUUUUCCCACUACAAUAAUUUUACAGUAAAGUCUUACAGUACAAUCUCUUAACCAUAGUGGAAACAACAGAAAUCUUGCUUAAUUCGAGGUCAUCAUACAUUUAUCCGUAUUAUCAAUACAUUGUAACGCUCUUAAUUAAUUCUGGUUUUCUUACACAUAACAUUGGCCCUAAAUAGCAGCAUUGUAAUGCUUUACAUACUGUGGCUCAAUAGGUCCACCUAGUUUCCGAAGGAUAAGAGUCAACCUUGUACAUGAAAACAUCUUCCAUCGGAUGCCACUUGAGUCCCAGAACCUUCUUAGCCUCCUCGGUUUUAAUUCCAACCACUGACGGAGAGGCUUUCUGUUCAAAACGAUGAUUCCCGUGAUAAGUGAGGGAAUAAACACUAUCUUUAAAUUUUACAAACCAAGGUUGAUCUGUUUUUGUAACAGACUGAAAACUUGGCUGAAUUAAAUUUUGUAGAUUUGAUUAUGUACGCACCUUGUUAAAAGUUGCUCAUUAAUCUUGCCAAAAAUUAUGUGCAAGGCGCGAUACUCGCCGGCUAAGUUUUGGCUCUUCAAUUUCGGAAAAUCUUUUAAUGAUUUAAAUGAUUGAAUCGAUUUUUAUGCGUGAAACUAAGAUGAUGAGAACGAGAAUAACUUAACUAAUUUGAAUGUGUGCGUGGGAGAUUGAGCUUGAGCUUGGUAAACAAAUGAGCUUUGAAACAAAAAAUGAAUUCUUAAAUUUUUGUUUUUAUUUACUUUUUUUGGUUUGUAAUUUUCAAUGAAAUUUUUUCAUUAAUUAAAAUGUUGAAUGAUUCCGGCUCAAAAUUAGCCAAUUUGUAUUGUAUGCUUAUCGUAUAUGUACACAAUUUAAAUGUUUUGAGUCUAUAUAUCAAUGAAUCUAGUAUAGGAUUUAAUUUAGGAAAACUAAAACUAAAAUACUAUUGUAAGCUUGAAUGUAAGAAAAAAAUCAAUCUAUGUGGUUUUCAAAGUGACAAUCUUCUUGUCACCAAUUGACCAUCGAAAGAAUUAAGUUCGAGUAUUCAGUAUGCAAUUGACGUGUUGCAUCCUUCACAUCAUCAGAAGUCCAAAUGUAUUAAAAUGGAAACCAAACCAUUCCAUCAUUCACUCUUCAAACUGCUACAAGUUUCGAUGUCAUUAACACCACCCUUCGACCAAAUGCACAAAUGCAAAGCUGCCACUCAUUCAAGUCCGUGUGGGAUCCAAUGGCCUAUUUUUAUCGAUUACAUUUCCUUCAUCGUAUUUCACAUAUAAAUGUGGAGCGACUCAGGAAUGGAUCGUUGAAAGGUUGAACCCUUUGAACCCAAAAAGAAGAAUGACAAAAAUACUGUAUGAAAAAUAUACAAAAACCAACGGACCCAUGACAUCAAAUUGGAUUUUUCAAUAUCAGUGGCGAAAUGACCAAUAGUUGUGGAAAGCAGUCAAAAUCUGUUCCAGUCCGUGCAGUUCACCAAAUCUGUGAGUUGUAGAUUUCAAAUCAUCUCCGAAUUGAUAUCAACCCACGCUUAUCGAUCACAUAUCCUUCCAUCGUUUCUCAUUGAAGCGACUCAGGUAUGGAUCGAUCACCAACGGAUAACCCUAACAUCGAAAAGUUGUCGGUUAAACAUUAAAUGAACAUGACAAGAGUAAAUUAAAUCAACGAACAUCAAUUUGUUUCUGAAAUUCGGACAAAACGAAAAUAUACACAUAAAAUACGAAUAUUCAUCAAUUCUUGAUUAAUGCAACAACAACGCGGCAAAAACAUCAAAAGUCACUUUGAAAACGCAUACAAAUAGAAAAUAGGCUAAAUAAAUUAAUUUUGGAUCAUACAAACAUUUUACAUGAUUUUAAUGAAUGCUGCACGAUUUCCCGAUUUUUUUUCCCCAAAAAACAAUUUUUCCCGAAUUUUAUCGAAAAUCGUAUGACAUUUUAUGAGAAACAUAUUUUCAGGAAAUCGUGCCGCAUUCCCUUUUAAUAUAAUGUAAUGACGUUAAAUUAGUUUAAUUUUUUAACUACUUCACGAAUUGAACCACUUUUGUUCAAUGUUCUUUUAAGUUCAAAUAAUAAGAAAAUAGACUAAAAACGUUGAAUAAAAAACAAAAAACGUUCCCAUUUUUAUCAAGAAUUAAAACCAAAU